CUGGGAAGGGGGAAAAACGUAACAAGGUUUCCGUAGGUGAACCUGCGGAAGGAUCAUUG
rnacentral:rRNA from 1 species